rnacentral:rRNA from 1 species
GAUGAACGCUGGCGGCGUGCCUAAUACAUGCAAGUCGAACGCAUAGCGAAAGGUGCUUGCACCUUUCAAGUGAGUGGCGAACGGUUGAGUAACACUUGGACAACCUGCUUCAAGACUGGGGAUAACAUUUGGAAACAGAUGCUAAUACCGAAUAAAACUUAGUCUCGCAUGACACAAAGUUAAAAGGCGCUUCGGCGUCACCUAGAGAUGGAUCCGCGGUGCAUUAGUUAGUUGGUGGGGUAAAGGCCUACCAAGACAAUGAUGCAUAGCCGAGUUGAGAGGCUGAUCGGCCACAUUGGGACUGAGACACGGCCCAGACUCCUACGGGAGGCUGCAGUAGGGAAUCUUCCACAAUGGGCGAAAGCCUGAUGGAGCAACGCCGCGUGUGUGAUGAAGGCUUUCGGGUCGUAAAGCACUGUUGUAUGGGAAGAACAGAUAGGAUAGGAAAUGAUUUUAGUUUGACGGUACCAUACCAGAAAGGGACGGCUAAAUACGUG